GAAAAAGAAGGAAAUGAAAGAUUCCUCUGGCAGCCUUCCAUUUAUAAAAUGAGCAUAAUAAUACUCAUGGUUUUUUGCUUUAUGGGAAUGCCAUGAAGAUAGGAGAGGAACUGGACCUGGGAUUUCAUUCGUGUAUACUCCAGAGCCAUCUGGGUCCAGUAGCAAGAUAUAGAUCAGAAUGACUGAAGAUGGCCCUGGAUGCAAUGGGAGACCUUGGUCUUUUAAAGCUUUUUCAGAUUUGAGUUUGACUGAGACAACAGCCCAAACAGUGAGUAACUAGGGUCCAUAGGUUUUUACCAGACUGCUGGAGGAGUCAAAGCACAAAAAACAUGAAGAACCCCUGACUUAACUAGAGAAAAUUGACUAGAGGGAUUUGGUCAGUGCCAGAGGGGGCUGAGAAAGCGUCCCCGGUGUCUAGUUUUCCUUGCAUUGGAAUGAAAGAUCAGAAUUGAAGCCUGAAUCUCUGAAGACUGGAAAGGAAACCUAGCUACCUCCCUCCCUGCUCCAGGCUCAGACUCUUCCUACUCCCCUCAAAGAGACACCCCAAGGGUUUGAUCCAUUUUGUGGUAUUGAGGCUCAUUUCGUGCAUUUGUACCAAGCCACCACAAGGUGGCCGCCGCAGCACGUGGAGCUAGCCCGCGGAUCUUGGCAAGGCUGGAAACCCAGCUUUGGAAUUCUAGCUCCAGCAUGGUUCUCUGGAGGACUCGUGUGUCUCCCCCUCCCCCAUACCCAGCAAAAUAAAGAUAACAAGAC